rnacentral:rRNA from 1 species
UACGUAGGUGGCAAGCGUUGUCCGGAUUUACUGGGCGUAAAGAGCGCGCAGGCGGUCGUUCAAGUCGCGUGUGAAAGCCCCCGGCUCAACUGGGGAGGGUCACGCGAUACUGAUCGACUCGAAGGCAGGAGAGGGUAGUGGAAUUCCCGGUGUAGCGGUAAAAUGCGCAGAUAUCGGGAGGAACACCAAUGGCGAAGGCAGCUCGCUGGGACGGUACUGACGCUGAGGCGCGAAAGCGUGGGGAGCAAACAGGGAUUAAGAAACCCCAGUACGUC